UAAGUGAAUUAGUUUCAUCUGUCAUUCCCGAAGAUACCUUUCUAUGCAGAGUUAUCGUGAAGAUUGAAUGACUACGAGAUGAAAGAUCGUUACACUUUGUAGCAGCAACUUGACGCCGGUGAGAGCCUUCACGUAACAAUCGCAACCCAUCGCCAGCAUUUUUUAUAUAACUUUCUUCAAUACCAGUAAUAACAACGUUCCCUCUCCGCGAAGUAUCUUCAAAAACACGAGCUGGCUUUCGCAAUUCUUCGGAAACCAAAAGAUCGCGAAUUUCCUCGUUGUAAAGUUCAUAAUAGGAGCAUUUGACAGCAUAUUCUUGAUUACUGUUGUCCAAGGAGGAAAAUAAUUGAUAAAGGGCACGAGGAAUAAGGCCUGCUCCUUCAGACAAAAUUCCAUCGGAAUCGCUAAGAUCACCAGACAUAGUAUAUGUUUUACCGGUUCCAGUUUGUCCGUACGCAAAUAUAGUACAAUUAUAGCCGUUCAAUACUUGCUCCAGCAUGGGCGCUACCGAAUUUUCGAAUAGCAUUAACUGGUCAGCUUCAGGACCAAAGACUUUAUCAAAGGCAUACGUCUUCGUGACCAACAUGGAUGAAGGAUCCGACUGGAUGGCCAAUUCAGCACCCAUAGCGCCCGAAGUCGAUACAGCAAGGCUACUAUUGUCGCGUACUUCUUGGUCUGUACGACCACGAACACGGACGACUACGUUAAUAUUGGUUUCGUUCUCAUCAUGAAGUGCAUGAUCUGUCGGAGAAUUAGUGUCGGAGCGAUCUGGGUACCCAGUGUCAAUAGUAGGAGGCUCACGUCGUUUCCUAGGAUUGCUCGCAGAGCGGAAAUGUGAAUUUGGAGUAGAAACCGGGUUUUUAGCUUUCAACCCCUGCUUUCCUAGAAAUUGUUGUGAGCCACCAGGUGCAACUCUAGGGGCCAUUCGGUUUUAUGAGUAAGGAUUGUUACAAAGAAAGCGACAAGGUUGUUAAUUUAAAUUGCAAUUCUGUUGUAAAGUUCAAUAAACCACAAUAUAAAAAAAAGGGGUAAAUUUAAAAUAGGAAAAGAUCGUAAACGUCUGUUUUUAGGGGUAAAAAGAAUGAAUAAAUUGGACAAUUGUCGCUCCUGAGUAUGUUGUUGAAUUGUUGUAAACAAGAACGAGGACUCAGACACGGUAACACUUGGAAUGUCUCAUUCCAAUGUUUUGCAGUACAAAUCAACAGUAUAAAAAGAGAAAAAAGAACUUUUAUGAAAAAUCCAACAAUUGUGCUAAUACUAAAAAUCAAUACAAAAUGAACGAACUUGGCAGAUAAACUGUUGUCAGUAAUGAUAAUAGUCAAAAUCGGUAGAAUGAGUUAAAAUCUA